rnacentral:tRNA from 2 species
UCCUGGUUAGCUCAUUUGGUAGAGCACUCCACUGGAAAUGGAGAGGUUCUGGUUCGAUACCAGAACCAGGCG